UACGUAGGGUGCGAGCGUUGUCCGGAUUUAUUGGGCGUAAAGAGCUCGUAGGCGGUCUGUCGCGUCGGAUGUGAAAACCCAGGGCUACAACCCUGGGCCUGCAUUCGAUACGGGCAGACUAGAGUACGGCAGGGGAGACUGGAAUUCCUGGUGUAGCGGUGAAAUGCGCAGAUAUCAGGAGGAACACCGGUGGCGAAGGCGGGUCUCUGGGCCGAAACUGACGCUGAGGAGCGAAAGCGUGGGGAGCGAACAGG
rnacentral:rRNA from 1 species